rnacentral:rRNA from 1 species
AUUGAACGCUGGCGGCAUGCCUUACACAUGCAAGUCGAACGGCAGCACGGGUGCUUGCACCUGGUGGCGAGUGGCGAACGGGUGAGUAAUACAUCGGAACGUACCUUAUCGUGGGGGAUAACGCAGCGAAAGCUGUGCUAAUACCGCAUACGCCCUGAGGGGGAAAGCGGGGGAUCGAAAGACUCCGCGCGAUUAGAGCGGCCGAUGGCUGAUUAGCUUGUUGGUGGGGGUAAAAGCCCACCAAGGCGACGAUCAGUAGCUGGUCUGAGAGGACGAUCAGCCACACUGGGACUGAGACACGGCCCAGACUCCUACGGGAGGCAGCAGUGGGGAAUUUUGGACAAUGGGGGCAACCCUGAUCCAGCAAUGCCGCGUGAGUGAAGAAGGCCUUCGGGUUGUAAAGCUCUUUUGUCAGGGAAGAAACACCGGCUCUAACACAGUCCGGGAAUGACGGUACCUGAAGAAUAAGCACCGGCUAACUACGUGCCAGCCGCCGCAGUAA